CCCUUAGAUGUCCUGGGCUGCACGCGCGCUACAUUGGGUGCUGAAAUAUGAGAGUGUGAUGCCUGGUCCGAAAUGUUCUGGGUAACCACUAAAAAGCACCGCAUGUGAUUGGGAUUGUCUCUUGUAACUAAGAGACAUGAACGAGGAAUUCCUAGUAAUUUGAUGUCAACAACAUCAUGUGAUUACGUCCCUGCCCUUUGUACACACCGCCCGUCGCUCCUACCGAUUGAGUGAUCCGGUGAGUAAUUCGGACUGGAGCAGUGUUCAGUUCCUGAACGUUGCAUCGGAAAGUUUAGCAAACCUUAUCACUUAGAGGAAGGAGAAGUCGUAACA
rnacentral:rRNA from 1 species